rnacentral:rRNA from 1 species
AGCUCCAAUAGCGUAUAUUAAAGUUGUUGCAGUUAAAAAGCUCGUAGUUGAAUUUCUGGUUAGAAUAGUCGGUCUUGCACUCAGUGUAAGUACCAGACUCUUCUUCCCAUCUUUAGGGAGAACUCAUAUGGCAUUAAUUUGUUGUGUGAUGUAUCCUUAUCGUUUACUGUGAAAAAAUUAGAGUGUUCAAAGCAGGCUUAUGCCGUUGAAUAUAUUAGCAUGGAAUAAUAAGAUAGGACUAUGGUACUAUUUUGUUGGUUUGUGCACCAUGGUAAUGAUUAAAAGAAACAGUCAGGGGUAUUAGUAUUCCGUAGUCAGAGGUGAAAUUCUUGGAUUUGCGGAAGACUCACAACUGCGAAAGCAUUUACCAGGGAUGUUUUCAUUA